GCUUCUGCUGGGUUGCCAUGCACUGUGAGGAGGAGAACGGGAUGCAGCCAAGGAUGACUUGCCGGCUCCUGGUAUUGGGGGAAUCUCAGCUUUGCUGAAGCGCCUUGGAGUUAGCCGGCAAGUCUGUCCUUGGCUACACCUAGCUCUCUUCUUCUAGCGUUUGGCUCUUGAGCAUCCUCGAGGGCCAUCUGUACCGUAGCUUGUUUGUGCCGACGAUUUCCACCAAGAUACAUACGAAUGAGUAAGUAUGCAAUGCUUAAAGACUGACUUAUUACCUCAGAAUCAUGUCUCUUCAGCUCUGCAUGUGCAUUAGUGCAUACAUUACAUGUUCAACAUCUUGCUGUUCCUUCUGCAAUGGACAUGCAUGAACUUGUAAGCAAGAAAAAAAAAAUGGAGCCUUGGAUACAGGCUCAAUCUUCAGUUGAUAACAGACUAAAGUAUAUUAGUAUCUUACCAUUUACUAACCAUUAUCAUAUGCUAAUCCUUGGUUUUUGAAGAAAAUGAAGAUAUAUGUCUUGUAUUGCUUUAUGAUCAUAUGAAAAGCCAAGAGAAACCAUGACCAUCACUGCGCACAAGAAAGAUUCCUCGCGAGGCUCCUGAUUACCACAGUAGUCCUUAGGGUGUCAUAGCACAUAGAUUGUGGAUGUAAAAGAAAAUGUUAAACACGUACGACAGAAGCAGAAAGGUACAUCG
rnacentral:sRNA from 1 species